rnacentral:rRNA from 1 species
UACGUAGGUGGCUAGCGUUGUCCGGAUUUACUGGGCGUAAAGAGCGCGCAGGCGGUCGUUCAAGUCGAGUGUGAAAGCCCCCGGCUCAACUGGGGAGGGUCACUCGAUACUGAUCGACUCGAAGGCAGGAGAGGGAAGCGGAAUUCCCGGUGUAGUGGUAAAAUGCGUAGAUAUCGGGAGGAACACCAGUGGCGAAGGCGGCUUUCUGGCCUGUUCUUGACGCUGAGGCGCGAAAGCUAGGGUAGCAAACGGG